rnacentral:lncRNA from 1 species
AUGUCUUACAGAACACACUUUUUUAAAAUAGGUUCUGAGUGUCCAAACCAGCAGACGAAGGAGGAGAGUGGAGAGACCCGUCUUGUGUGCAGGACUGGCUUGAACUUUAUUGCUGCCAGCUGUAUCUGACAGAAGACAGAAGCCUAGCAGAUUGGUGACCUCCUGCCACAGAUGCCUUUGUGAAGACUGUCUUCAACCCCAAGGACUUCAGAUGAGAGAUUGUUUUGUAGAUAAAUACUUAACGUGAUUUGUACAUUUUGUUGUAUUAUUUAUAGUUUUUACAUGUAUUUUCUAUUCUUAUAUAGAUUUGUUCUUGUUCUUAUACUAUAGUUUUCAAUUUUAUACAUUUUGUAUGUUGGUUAUAUGUGGACGUAUAAAUUAAUUUUGUAUAGCACUUCUGUCUUGCCUGCUC